rnacentral:misc_RNA from 1 species
AACGCACCUUGCGCUCCUUGGUAUUCCGAGGAGCAUGCCUGUUUGAGUGUCAUGUUAAUAUCAACCCCGUCGGUUUGUAAGUCAGACCGUUGGGUGUUGGACUUGGAGGUUCUUGCUGGCUGCAAAGUCGGCUCCUCUUGAAUGCAUUAGCUUGGGCCUGUUGUGCGUGCUCGCGGUGUAAUAAGUUUUAUUCAUCGUUUGGGUCGUACACUUAUUGGGCUUGCUUCUAACUGUCUUCGGACAAAUAUAACCUUUGACUCUGACCUCAAAUCAGGUAGGACUACCCGCUGAACUUAA